rnacentral:sRNA from 1 species
GUUGGGCAUGGUAGUGCAUGCCUGUAACCUCAGCCACUUGGAAGGCUGAGGCAGGAGGAUCACAAGUUAGAGGCCGUCCUGAGCAACUUAAUGAGACCCUGUCUCAA